AUGAUCUCCCAUAGUUAAGCGCGCUUGGGCUAGAGUAGUAUUGGGAUGGGUGACCUCCCGAGAAGUCCUUGUGGAGAUCUAG
rnacentral:rRNA from 1 species